rnacentral:rRNA from 1 species
UACAGAGGUCUCAAGCGUUGUUCGGAUUCAUUGGGCGUAAAGGGUGCGUAGGCGGCGCGGUAAGUCGGGUGUGAAAUUUCGAGGCUUAACUUCGAAACUGCACUCGAUACUGCUCUGCUUGAGGACUGGAGAGGAGACUGGAAUUCACGGUGUAGCAGUGAAAUGCGUAGAUAUCGUGAGGAAGACCAGUGGCGAAGGCGGGUCUCUGGACAGUUCCUGACGCUGAGGCGCGAAGGCCAGGGGAGCAAACGGG